GUGGGGAAUUUUGGACAAUGGGGGAAACCCUGAUCCAGCGACGCCGCGUGAAGGAUGAAGGCCUUCGGGUUGUAAACUUCUUUUGGAGGGGACGAAUAAAUUGACGGUACCCUCAGAAAAAGCCACGGCUAACUACGUGCCAGCAGCCGCGGUAAUACGUAGGUGGCGAGCGUUACUCGGAAUUACUAGGCGUAAAGCGUAUGUAGGCGGUUGUAUAAGUCUAUGGUGAAAUUUCCUGGCUCAACUGGGAAGGGACAUAGAUACUGUAUGGCUUGAGUGUUGGAGGGGGAGACGGAAUUCCUGGGGUAGCGGUGAAAUGCGUAGAUAUCAGGAGGAACACCGAUGGCGAAAGCAGUCUCCUGGCCAAAUACUGACGCUGAGGUACGAAAGCUAGGGUAGCAAACAGGAUUAGAAACCCCUGUAGUCC
rnacentral:rRNA from 1 species